UGUGGUUAACACUGAUAAACGUCACUCAAGAAUGUACUGAGUUCAUAGUGGGAGAGAGUCAUAGAGAGAGGGACCGGUGAGAAAAUGAGGAGGUGUUUCUUUUCAGUGUGCCAGGUAGUGUUUCUCACCCACACAUCUUUCUGCUCAGACUUCUCAAAGAACUAAACUGGGACUGAACAGCUAUCUUGGAUAUUUAGCAAAUAUAUUUGAUAAGAAGAGGAAGUAUAGAUAGGAAGUUUGUUGUCACUUGUGACAUCUAUGUCACAGAACAUCUGAAGUUCUGUUUUUAAUAUAAACUGAAAGCAGCAGGAGACUAACAAGCCGAAGUUCAUCAGGUUUUCUUCGGAGCAAAAACAUCCAAGCUUGGUUAUUAAACAACUCUGGAUUACUGGCUGACCUUGGAAAUUCCACACAGUUCAUCCGUUAACUCAAGUCUGGGCGAGUCUAGAUGUGUGAUCCAGCUGGUAAGAAUAAACUAAUGAAGAUGGCUAAUGAUACUUCAGACGAGCAUGCUGAUGCAACGACUGAACUGCACAGUGUCGUCUGCGGUGACGAACAACAUAACAUCUGCAGUGACCCGGACCAUCGAAAGUUAGCCAUAUGCAGCAUUAUAUGUGGACUCUCAUGCCUUGGCAUUAUGUCCCUUAUGUACUCUGUAAAGUCUCGAGAGACAAGAAAAACACUUCAAAAUGAAGAUCAAACACAAAGGAUACUGAAGGUCAAAGAAUACUCAAAAAAAGCUUUAAUAUGGGGAAUAAUCUCUAUUGUAGCUUGGGUGGUUUUAUUUAUUCUCCUUCCACUUCUGAUAGGACUAGGGUCCUAUUUAGUGACCUUCAUAGACUAAGACUCCAAAACCUAUACACUAGAUACGGUUAAAACCCUGAGCAACCAAAGUAAAUGCAUUAUAAAAUGUUAAAUAAUAUGAUGGACAGACUCUACACUAUCCACUAAUAGGUUGAUCAGUAUUGUGCAAUGUUGACCAAACACUGCAAUUAUGAGAACAAAUGCAUGUGGUAAAAUUGAACAAAUACAUUAGUUUUCUGGAAUUGUUACUUGCAUUAGAUGAAAUCAUCCUGAGAUUUUACUGACAAUCUGUUUUUAUUUAUGUUCAUAAUGCAACAUUAAAAUGAAACAUUAGGUCAUUUGCAGAGAGCUCCACAGUUUUAUACAAACAUCUAUUACAGGUUGGAAUAUGGAACUGGUUACAUUUUUAACAUUCUGCUUUUGUAAAUAUUUUGUAUUGUUUUAAUACCUUGUGCUUUAAAUGUUUUGUACAUUGUAAUAAGUUUUGUCAUAAAAAAGUGUUAACAGUCAAAA